AUACGUAGGUGGCGAGCGUUGUCCGGAAUUAUUGGGCGAAAAGAGCAUGUAGGCGGUUUUUUAAGUCCGGAGUGAAAAUGCGUGGAUCAACCCCGUAUGGCUCUGGAUACUGGAAGACUUGAGUGCAGGAGAGGAAAGGUGAAUUCCCAGUGUAGCGGGUAAAUGCGUAGAUAUUGGGAGGAACACCAGUGGCGAAGGGGCCUUUCUGGACGGUGUCUGACGCUGAGAUGCGAAAGCCAGGGUAGCGAACGGGAUUAGAUACCCCGGUAGUCCUGGCCGUAAACGAUGGGUACUAGGUGUAGGAGGUAUCGACCCCUUCUGUGCCGGAGUUAACGCAAUAAGUACCCCGCCUGGGGAGUACGUCCGCAAGGAUGAAACUCAAAGGAAUUGACGGGG
rnacentral:rRNA from 1 species